AGUGGGAUAGCUGGGUCAAAUGGUGGUUCCAUUCUAAAUUUUCUAAGGAAUCUCCAUACUGCUUUCCAGAUUGAUUGCACCAAUUUGCAGUUCCACCAGCAAU
rnacentral:pre_miRNA from 1 species